GAAUCACAACUGCAAGAUGCAGUUGCACAGGCAGCCAGCUUGAUCAGUCUGGCGGGUCACAAUGUUCACAUAACACUGGGAAACAAACAAGAGACUGCUUUGGACUUGGCUCACUGGUAUGUCCUCCAGCGGACCCGAGCAGCUUUUGAAAGGUUCAGAGAUGGCUUAACGUCUCUAGGUGUCCUAGAUGCUCUUCAGAGAUACCCUCUACAGUUGAAGUGCCUUUUCGUGAAGGCUGAAAAGGGUUUGACAGCGGCUGAUAUGGAGAAUCUCUUCCAGAUCAUUCACUCCGAAAGAGGGAGUAAUGCAUUCCAAGAAGAGUGCCGGAAUCAGGCUUUCUGGCAGGACUAUCUUCAGGAUGCUGAAUUCGAAGACGAUGUCUCUCUGGAGGAUAUUCUUAUUUUCUUCACUGGAUGUGACAGCAUUCCAGCUCUGGGUUUCUCUCCAAGGCCAAGCCUGGAGUUCAUCACCAACUCCCGAUUUCCAUUGGCCAAUACUUGCGAGAUAAUUCUUCGCAUACCAGUUCAUACCACAUACACUGCAUUCAAAUCUAAUAUGGAUUUCGGAAUACGCAAUGCCCCAGGAUUUGGAAGAGCGUAAGACGCAAUGUAGAGCUAGGGUUAUGUUGAGUUGUUUUUUGUUGUUGUUAUUGAUAGUGUUAUUUACUUUUGUUCUUCCAUGAGGCUAACACGCUAAAGUUGGGUUCAAUUUUGGCGAGGAAAAACUGGCAUGGCCAUUUGUCAAGGUGUCUCCUUGACCUCUGACCUCAAGAUAUGUGGCUGAAAAUGGGUUCUAUGGGUACCCACGAGUCUCCCCUUUACAGAUAUGCAGUUUUUUGAAUGCAGUAUACAUGUUAUUUUUGCCUAUUCUAAAAAUGUAAAACAUAUUAUACAUAACAUACUAUGUAAAACACAGUGUGAAAACAUUGAGUUCCAGUUUUGGCCCUCCAAGGGAAAAGUUUGGGCACCCUUGAUCUAAAGGUUUUGGUAAAGCCUUCUAAAAAUAAAGGGUUCUAUGUU